GUACACUCCUACGGGAGGCAGCAGUGGGGAAUUUUGGACAAUGGGCGAAAGCCUGAUCCAGCAAUGCCGCGUGCAGGAUGAAGGCCUUCGGGUUGUAAACUGCUUUUGUACGGAACGAAAAAGCUCCUUCUAAUACAGGGGGCCCAUGACGGUACCGUAAGAAUAAGCACCGGCUAACUACGUGCCAGCAGCCGCGGUAAUACGUAGGGUGCGAGCGUUAAUCGGAAUUACUGGGCGUAAAGCGUGCGCAGGCGGUUAUGUAAGACAGAUGUGAAAUCCCCGGGCUCAACCUGGGAACUGCAUUUGUGACUGCAUGGCUAGAGUACGGUAGAGGGGGAUGGAAUUCCGCGUGUAGCAGUGAAAUGCGUAGAUAUGCGGAGGAACACCGAUGGCGAAGGCAAUCCCCUGGACCUGUACUGACGCUCAUGCACGAAAGCGUGGGGAGCAAACAGGAUUAGAAACCCGGGUAGUCCCAUGA
rnacentral:rRNA from 1 species